rnacentral:lncRNA from 1 species
GUGGUUUUCAUGGAGACAAAAGGUGGAGAAGGACAGUCCUGUGAAGUGGCUGCAACAUUCGAAGGUAACAGUAAGUCUUCAUCAAGAGCCAGACAUGCCUUAGAAUAACAGCAGGUGAAGAGAGAAAACGUACAGGAAAACAAACAAGGAUGGAAGUAUGGUGCAGGAGGGUGCACAGUGAAUAGAAGAAAAUGCUAUGGAAGACUACUCCUCACCAAGCAAAACAUGACUAGGUGGAAUGUGGACUGAAGGUGGAGAUGAAUUCAAGAGUUUUAUGGAGGGCACCUGUCACCUAAUCACAGCCCCAACAACACUACCAAGAAAGCAUCAUGGCCUUUUCUUUUACAGG